UGUGCACCAGUGGGGUCCCUCAGCCUGGCCUGCACCCUCUCACAAUCCGGGACUCCUCGGGGGGAUAUUGGACUGCUGAUUUAGGCCCGAUCCUUGCAGGCCAGGCUGAGGGACCCCACUAGUGCAUG
rnacentral:pre_miRNA from 1 species